CCUCCCUAUGCGCAUUGUAAGUAAACCAUUCAGAACCAUCCUCUUGAUUCAAAACCAAACUCAGCCAUCCUCUCCCUCCAGGCCGCGAGUCUCCUUAGAGAAGAACUCAUCACUUAAGCCCAUAAUUCCUUCUCUUCUCCUUUACUCCCUCGGCCGAACAUCAAGCAACAAAGCUUGCAUGUCCUUUACCUUCCCACCUCUUUCACUAAGCCGUAUGUCCUAAGAGAAAGUCCCCAAACACUAAAAGCUCACAUCUAUUCUUCUCCUUCUUACUCGCCGAAGAUAAAAAUCAAGGAGCUUGAGCUCGGUUUCUUGGAACGUUGAAGGGAAAGGUUGCUGCUCUUUAACCGAUUCGCUAAUCUUCGAGUGCAUGCAAGAAGGUGCGCAAGCCUCUAACAAAAAAGGGGACUGAUUUGAUGAUAUUGUGGUUAUAACUCUAAAGCACUAAGGUGAAUAUUUUGACACAUACAGCUGAGGUUACAUUAACUGAUGAACAACACCCUGUUAUUUCAAAAUUAAAGAAAGCACAGAAGGGCCAAGAUGAGAAAGAGUGUCAUGCUUAGGUUGCUGAAUGCCUGAAGAAGUGCCAUAAAAUCAAUGGAAAGAUAUUUCCAAAUGAUGUGCCUGCUAUCUCUAAAGAAACAACAGAAACAUGUGGUGCUCUUUGGGACAUCUUUCGGAGGGAGGAUACUGAAAAGUUAGAAGCAUAUCUACGAAAACAUUCUAAAGAAUUUAGAUAUCUCAUGAUUAAUUUUAUGUGUUGCAUCAAACCGAAGGCUACCAUCAUGUAACCAUGGAUCUUUCAAUUGCUUGUAUUGUUUAGCUACAGGGAGGCAAAACAAGCAUUUGCAUUACUUAAAUAGCAAUGUUAGCUUGCCUUCAACUUCACUGACCUACUUAAAUAUCACAAUUGAACAUUAAACUAACAUGAAUUACAAUCUAGUAAAGGUACUUCCUCCUGCAUGGCUGCAUUACAUAUAUAAGGGCUGGGCAAGUAGCUGCUCUUGCAAUGACAAUGUAACAUGAUUAGAGAGACAUGGAACCAAAAAAGAAAGAAAGAAAGAAUUAACCCAAAACAGAAAACAACAGACCUGGUUACAAGGGAAAAUGUCAGCAAUGAGCUUCUUGUACCUCUUGACAGGUUGUCUUGACCUUGCUCUCAAGGAAGGGCAAAAGAAACAAAGAUUGCCACGAGCAGGCAGAACUUGACGGGAAACAAAUAAAGCGCAGCAAAGGAAGAGGUACAAAAUUUUGACUACGCAUAUGUCAUGGUCAAGUGAGGACUCUUAAUCUAUAUAACAUGGAUUAGGAGUCACAUAUUUUUGUUGUAAAGUUGGCAUUAUUGACGUCCUCGUGAGUGCACGCAAAGCUUACUUUAAGAUUAUGCGAUCUAGCAUUGUGGCUCUUCUUCAUGCACGACUUCAACUUAGGGACCUGCUCGAAAUUAUGGAUGAUUCCACCUUGUGACUUAAACAAGAUAAAUAUCAAUAUUUCACCUGAAUGAGGAACUGAGUUAAUUAUAAACAACAACUGAUUAUGUUCCAGAACUUAAAAACUCUAGUGAACAAAAUAUUGAAUCUUAUAAAGAGAAUUAAUAAAAGGAACACAAAUGUAAACCCCAAAUGCAAUUAUAUUCAGUUAAAUAAAGCGAACACAACGCAAUUAAGCUAAAAAAAUUCAUUUUCCGAACAAAAAAUAUACAUAUAUAUCGAUUGUGCUAAAAAUAGAGCUUAUCCUUGCUUCUUAUGCUUUGGUGUUCAUUAAUUUCUAUUCUGGUUAGGUUGUCCAUCCAAUUCAUGACCAAUGUUUUUAUUUGACUUUGGAGCACAAGAAGAAGCUGAAGGAAGAAUUUGGUGUAGAACCUUGGACGUUUGAGCAGAAACUUGAGAGGCAGUAUUUAUUCCUGCUGGAUGUCCACACUAAGUUAGGAAUCUCAAGUCAUGCACUAAAGUUGCUUCAGAUUUUGUGUCUCCUGAGAAUAUUCAUAUGUGCUUGCGAUUAAAGGAUGAAUUUCGUCGUCUUCCUAGGAAUCACAAGGCGAGGGAAGAUAAGCUAGAGAUAAAGAAGAUGAUCGUGCAUGCUGUAGAUCAAAUAGUCAAGGAAUUAGAAGCAUUGGUGGAGUGUUCUUGAGACUGGCCUAUAUGC